GGUUGGUUCGUCUAACGGUUAGGACGAGAGAUUCUCAAUCUCUAAACACGGGUUCGAUUCCCGUACCGACUA
rnacentral:tRNA from 1 species